GAUGAACGCUGGCGGCGUGCCUAAUACAUGCAAGUCGAGCGAACAGAUAAGGAGCUUGUUCCUUUGACGUUAGCGGCGCACGGGUGUGUUACACGUGGAUCACCUCCUUAUAAGACUGGGAUCACUUCGGGAAACCGGCGCUAAUACCGGAUAACAUCUUGAACCGCAUGGUUCAUUAGUGAAUUGCGGCUUUGCUGUAACUUAUAGCUGGAUCCCGGCCGUAUUAGCUAGUUGGUGAGUUAACGGCUUACCAAGGCGACGAUACGUAGCCGACCUGAGAGGGUGAUCGGCCACACUGGAACUGAGACACGGUCCAGACUCCUACGGGAGGCAGCAGUAGGGAAUCUGCCGCAAUGGGCGAAAGCCUGACGGAGCAACGCGGCGUGAGUGAUGAAGGUCUUCGGAGCGGAAAGCUCUGUUAUCAGGGAAGAACAAAUGUGGAAGUAGCUGAGCACAGCUUGACGGUACCUGAUCAGAAAGCCACGGCUAACUACGUG
rnacentral:rRNA from 1 species